rnacentral:rRNA from 1 species
AUGAACGCUGGCGGCGUGCUUAACACAUGCAAGUCGAACGAUGAAGCCCAGCUUGCUGGGUGGAUUAGUGGCGAACGGGUGAGUAACACGUGAGUAACCUGCCCUUAACUCUGGGAUAAGCCUGGGAAACUGGGUCUAAUACCGGAUAGGAGCGUCCACCGCAUGGUGGGUGUUGGAAAGAUUUAUCGGUUUUGGAUGGACUCGCGGCCUAUCAGCUUGUUGGUGAGGUAAUGGCUCACCAAGGCGACGACGGGUAGCCGGCCUGAGAGGGUGACCGGCCACACUGGGACUGAGACACGGCCCAGACUCCUACGGGAGGCAGCAGUGGGGAAUAUUGCACAAUGGGCGCAAGCCUGAUGCAGCGACGCCGCGUGAGGGAUGACGGCCUUCGGGUUGUAAACCUCUUUCAGUAGGGAAGAAGCGAAAGUGACGGUACCUGCAGAAGAAACACCGGCUAACUACGU